rnacentral:sRNA from 1 species
AAAAAGAAAUAGAAGUUCCAAAAAGAACACAAUUACUGGAAGGAAGAAGUAUGAAACUGAAGGAAUGUGUUUAAACAUGAAGAACACCCAAUUAUUAUUAUUUUU